rnacentral:rRNA from 1 species
GUUAUAUUAGUCGGGUGUUAAAUCCUUGGGCUCAACCCAAGAAUCGCAUUCGAAACGGUAUAACUUGAGGAAGCGAGAGGUGAGCAGAACUCACGGUGUAGGGGUGAAAUCCGUUGAUAUCGUGGGGAAUACCAAAUGCGAAGGCAGCUCACUGGCGCUUUCCUGACGCUGAGGCACGAAAGCAUGGGUCGCGAACGGGAUUAGAUACCCCGGUAGUCCAUGCCCUAAACGCUGUCUGUUGGCUUUGGGGGGAAUCGACCCCCUCCGAGGCGAAGCUAACGCGUUAAACAGACCGCCUGGGUAGUACGAGCGCAAGCUUAAAACUCAAAGGAAUAGACGGGGGCUCGCACAAGCGGUGGAUCAUGAGGCUUAAUUCGUCGAUAAGCGAAAAACCUUACCGAGGCUAGAAACCAUACUGCACGCCCAGGGAAACUUGGGAAGCCUUCGAGGGUGUAUGGCAGGUGAUGCAUGGCCGUCGUCAGUUCGUGGCUUGAGUUGUUCCCUUAAGUGGGGAAACGAACGCAACCCUCGUUGCCUGUUACAAGUGUCAGGCGAGACUGCUCCCUCACGGGAGAGGAAGGUGAGGAUGACGCCAGGUCAGCAUGUCCCUCGAUGCCUCGGGCUGCACUCAUGAUACAAUGGGACACACAAAGGGACGCAAUACCGCAAGGUGGAGCAAAUCCUGAGAAAAGGUCCCGCAGUUCGGAUUGUGGGCUGCAACUCGCCCGCAUGAAGCCGGAAUCGCUAGUAAUCGU